GAGCCAGAGAAUGCACGAAAUCCUACAUCGCUCACAUAACCACUAUGGUCAGCUUCAACAUCUGUGGUCUCCUCAUGUUGAGCACUUCUUUCUGGUUCUUUGUACCCCAAAGGAGCAUCGAAAUCCACAUUCAUAUCACAUUCUAUGAUGGACACAGCUUUAUCUGGUUUGGUCUCCAUUACCCGAAGCUCAUAGAUCUUUUCAUUGUAAUUGAUGGCUAUAACAUCUCCUGUAGUUAGACAAGCAAAGCUUCUCAAUGCAUUUUCUAAUACAGCCUUGGGAUUGGUGAUGUCAAGAAAAUCUGGACUCUGUGGCUGAAAUUUUGAGUAAGUGGCAACUUGAAGAUUCACACUCUCCACUUGUACCAGGCCUCCCUCUUCCAGCAGCAAAUUCUGCAUCAUCCAGUGUGGUAGGUAACAUAUGCCCUCGUCAGCCACGAAUUCAAGCACUCCACAGUGCGUCAUCCGGUCUGAAUUUUUAUUGGUCAGCUUAAACAGCAUUGGGUAGGUAAUAUUAAGUCGGCUGAGUUGAUCCAAAGCAGACGGUGGCAUAAUUAUCUUCCCGCCUUUCUCCACAUCUGACCUGUCAUUAGGCCCGGCCAGCAUGGACACCGAGAAGCAGCGGUACUGCGUGGAGAAGCGGUUCUGGAAGACGCGGGGGAUGGGGUGGUCGAACAUGUUGAAGGAGAACAUGGCGGCGGCGCGGUGCGGGGAGCUGUGCUGCUGCCGCUGCUGCUGAGGGCGGGCGCGACCGCUCCGCCGCCGGACGCCGCUACACCGCCCCCGGCACCGCCCUCCGGCCGCCAUCUUGGGUGAGGGCAGAAGGUUGGAGGUGACGCCGGCCGUUGGGGUCGUUGCGAUGACGACUUCUGACCGCUCAGCCCCUUCGCCGCCAACGAGCGCCAAGGCGGUCCGCUUUCUGUUCAUUCUCCAUGCGUUUUCGCGGCCAAGGAUACAAACUGCCCCCAACAAAGAUGGCGGCAGCGGCAACAGAGCCUGGAACGGUGCUUCCGGC
rnacentral:lncRNA from 1 species